UUCGCAAUGCCCGAAAGGGUGACGAAGCGACGCCGCGUGGGUGAGGAAGGCCCUCGGGUUGUAAAGCCCUGUCAGGAGUUAAAAAAUGUAGGCUCGCUAAUAUCGUGUCUAUUUGACAAAGGCUCCAAAGGAAGCCACGGCUAACUCUGUGCCAGCAGCCGCGGUAAUACAGAGGUGGCAAGCGUUGUUCGGAAUUAUUGGGCGUAAAGAGCACGUAGGUGGAUUUGUAAGUCAGAUGUGAAAGCCUUCUGUUCAACGGAAGAAUUGCAUCUGAAACUACAAACCUUGAGUAUAGGAGGGGAGAAUGGAACUUCUGGUGGAGCGGUGAAAUGCGUAGAUAUCAGAAGGAACGCCGGCGGCGAAAGCGAUUCUCUGGCCUAUUACUGACACUCAGUGUGCGAAAGCUAGGGGAGCAAACGGGAUUAGAUACCCCGGUAGUCCUAACCGUAAACGAUGGGCACUAAGUAGAGGGGUUUU
rnacentral:rRNA from 1 species